rnacentral:misc_RNA from 1 species
UCUUUCAAAAAAUAGUUUAAAACUAGAUGUAAAAAGUUUGCAAUAGUUAAAGCUAUUCGAAAUGUCAGCUGAUCAAGAUCAGAAUGAACAAGAUCUGUCCAAUUUGUUGGGCAUAUCAAAGCAACUUGGGAAGAAUAGAAAUCGCACUAGUACUACCUUACUGGCUUUGCAAGAGACUAUAAAAGAAAAGCAGGUGAAAUUUAAAGAAUUAAGAGCGGCUAGAUAUCAAGAAUUGCAGUUACCACAAAGACACGUGUGUGAUAUGGUAGCUAUGUAUUUGGGCCUCGAUCCGAACCUCAUUAUGGAAGGAGCUAUAGACGACGACACUUACAUACACUUACUAAAUUACUUUUUGGACAAGAACGGAACUAGGGCCAUUUUAAUCAUAUAUCAAGAUGGUCCUCCAUAUCCUAUAGAAACUGGACGAUAUAAUCCUGUUACCAAAGGUCCCAUUAAACGAAUAUAUGUCACAAGAGGGAUAAAAGAAACGCUAAAAGAAAAAGCUGUAGCGGUUUAUAAAGUUAAACGGAUCACUCUAGAUUUAAAAAACAUAAACGACGAAAUAUUUUUUACUGAAAUGGACUUGAGCAGAGGAACAAAAAACUGCGCCUCAAUAGCCUACGAAAUAUUUGCUGAAUUAAUCGAUCCCCCGUUGAAAAUGUCGAAAGAAUGGGGAGACCUGCCCAAAACUGCUAUGGGAAGAAUGCAGAAGCUAAAUUUUUUGGGCGAUUUUGAUUCGUUUGUUAAAUUUCUUGACAAGACCAAGCUAGAUUUGGAAGGCAUCGUUUUAUUUACGAUCGAUGAAGAACUUGCUGACUUAUUAGCGAACGAGGCCGAUAGAUCGAAAUAUUAUUUUAACAAGGCUUUUAUUCAAAGGGUGGAAUCUCAAGUGAGAAUAUGGAACAAAUUAAUAGAAAGGUGUCUAGUACAAUAUCAACAAGUUAGGAGUGAAAACGAGUUUGUGGGUCCGAACGUGGAAGUGGAGUAUUGGCGACGCCAACUAACAAGGUUUACGAGCAUCGUGGAAUUCGUGGAUACCGAGCGCUGUAAUUAUUUUAUUAAGUUCUUAAAGGCUUGUUUUGGUGGCGAGAUUUGUAAGAUUUGGAAAAAGCACGUGAAUCUGGUAUACGAUACUCGAAACGAAUGCGCUGACAACUUGAAAUAUCUCUACUCGAUGGAAAAAUAUUGGGAACCGUUGUAUAGGUUGGAUCCUCCUCAAAUAGUGCCCCACAUACCGCCUUUGCUCUACGCCGUAAGAAUGGUCUUUACCACGUCCAGAUAUUACAACAGUACCGCCAAUAUAACGGCGAUUUUGGUGAAAAUAUCGAAUCAGAUUAUCAAGAAAUGUAGAGACUAUUUGGACUGCGAGGGAACGAAAACUGUGUGGAAUCAGCUUAAGAUAGUUGUAUUGGAUAAAAUUAAGACCUGUUUAGAUGUCUAUCUAAAAUACUACCAGUGUUUCAAAAGAACCCAAAAACAAAUGGAGGAAAAGGGAGAGAAGCAUUUUGACUGUUCGGAAAGUUUUAUAUUUGGUAAAUUCGAGACGUUUAAAAAAAGAUGCGAACAGAUUGUUUACGUAUUACAAACGACUGUCAAGUAUUCGAUCCUUCAACAAAGCACUAUCGAAGGUAUUGAUGUUUAUGCCCAGAAAUUCAAAGACUUUUUCACCGAAAUUUCAACUCAAAAGUACGACGCCUUGAACCAUCGUUUACCCUAUUUCGAAAAAGACUUUAAUCAGUUUAAACAGAACGUGGUUGACACUGAAUGGGAACUUGAAGAAUUUGUGGGUGCCUCACUAGAGAAGAUGACGGACGUUGAUAAUAUAUUGCGACUGUUGAAAAGAUUUGAGAAAUUGGAUUUGGAAUGUUUGCAUCUAGAUGAAAGAUACCUAGAGGCGAUGAUGUUAUUCCAAUUUGAGAUUGAAACGUUACGAGAUAGAUACAACGAAGAAAGGCAGGUUCCUCAGCUUCCCAGAAAUAUGCCGCCUGUGAGUGGCCGAAUCAUGUGGAUAAGACAUUUCUAUGCUAGGAUUGCCGAACCGAUGGAUGUGUUUAAAACAAAAACACGGGUUAUGCAGCAUAGAAAAGUUCAAAAAUGUAUUCAGCUUUUUAAUGCAAUGUCAAUGUGCUUUGUUCAUUAUGAGAAUAUUUUUCACCAGGGUUGGUUCGAUUACACUGCUCAGGUGAGAAAUUGUUUAAUAAAACCUAUUAUGUGUAAAGAGGAGAAGACGAGAAGGUAUCAAGUUAACUACCAUCCUUAUAUUACGGAAGUUAUUCGUGAAGCUGAAUACAUGUACAAACUAGAUUUAGCUGUUCCAGAUGUAGGUCAAGUAUUAGUAUUUUGCAAAGAUAAACUUCUGGAUUCGUACGAAAUGGUGAAAGCCUUAAUAGCGCGAAACGACAAAAUCAGAUCGACCAUUCCUCCAUUAUUUCUACCGAUGAUGAAGAUGCAAAUGAUAAAAAUGGAAAACGCAUUUAUGCCCGGAUUUUCAACCAUUACAUGGACAUCUUUGAAAAUUCCAGAGUUUUGUAAAGAAGUAACCGAUGUACUGGACUAUAUUGAGAUGUUUGUCAAGGAGGUUAGAGAUAUGAAAGAAGCAAGAAUUGAUGAAGUACUAGAAGUCAUCGGUAAAACUUCGUUCGUGUAUUUACCCAACGAACCGCUUCCUCCCGCAGACUUUCUGCAACAAAAUAUUAAUUUUUCCAAUAGUUUAAUAAAGGAUCUUCAGUUGAAAUCAUCGACAAUGGAAAAAUGCGUCACUGAUUUAAUUAAUAAAUUUUUGAGCGUUAUUGAUACGCCGGAAUUACAGGCAAAUAAAUACAAAUGGCUCGAUGCAGAGAAAGCUGUGAGACCGAUUGGGUCAAAUUCUCGCUUGUUAACCACAGCAGAUGCAGCGUUUAAAGAGAUUGAUAGAAAUUCCCCGAUAGACUUGUCAAGCAUCCAUGCAGACUGUAUAGAAAUGUUUGCUUAUUUUAACAUGAAAUUUACCGACGCCAUGAUAAAGGCUACCAAGUAUUCGUUGGAGAAAAUUAAAAAACGCGCUACUAGUAUGGACGAAGAAAUUAUACCAUCAAUGACCACGUAUAUGAUAUUGCAAAUUCCGAUAGCCGCAAUUAGCCCGAGUCUUGAUGAAAUUCAGAAUUAUUUUUCGCAGGUCAUACAAAAUAUCUUGGACGUAAAUAAAUUCAUAUCCCUUUGGGGCCAAGAGGAACUGAAAUCGGCAAUGAAGAAAGAGACUAUUGGACCUAAGGCGAGAAAUUAUUACAAAGCGGUGUCCGAAAACAAAGAAAUUGUAAGGGUAUAUAUGAGCUUACAAGGAAUUAUGUAUGUUUUAACUCCCGACGUUAACAGUUUACUGGAAACUUACCUAAAAUGGAAGUAUCUAUGGGUCGAGGAUCGAGACCAAAUAAUCGAUGAUUUUUGUGAAAAGAGACCUUUAAUUGUAGAGAUAUCGGAAAAAUUUGCCGAAUACGAUAAUAGGGCUCAAGAAAUACGCGACUUACCAGAACAUCAUGACGUUGGAGCUAUUAGAAUUGCGAUGGAAAAAUUGAAAUUAGCAUUACUGGUCGAAUCGGAUGCUUGGAAAUAUAUUAUGGGUAAUAAUUUAAGCUGUAGAUAUAAGAAGAAACUGAACACUAUGGUGGACUUUAUUAAAACUCAAGAGAAAGUUUUGAAUAAACCAAUUAAGGACCUGGAUGACUGCAGGAAUGCAAUGGCUUGUUUGGCCACAAUUCGCGAGAACUUUAUAGAAAUGGAUUUAGAUCUUAGUCUCAUGGAGGAGGCUUAUGGUACAUUCUCCAAAUUUAAGAUUGACACUCCAAAAGAGGAUAUUGAACGAGUGGAAAGUUUGAGAUUUAAUUUCCAAAAUAUGAUAACCCACUCUAAAGCUGUCCAAGAAGAUAUAUGCACCGUUCAGGGCCCGCUCCUAGAAGAACUGACAAACGGCGUAGCUAAUUUUAAAGACGAAGUUGAGGUAUUUGAUAAUGAUUUUGAAGAAAAAGGACCAAUGAUACCGGGUCUUAGCGCUAGAGAGGCUAGUGAUAGAGUUUUAGCCUUUCAAGAUCGCUUUGACGAAUUGUGGAGAAAGUUUGAGAUGUAUAGCAGUGGUGAACGACUUUUUGGACUAGAAGUAAAUGAUUAUCCAAUUCUCCAUCAACGAAAGAAGGAAUUUACACUGCUAAACAAAUUGUAUGGAUUAUAUCUGGCAGUAAAUCACAGUAUCGAUGGUUACUUUGAUUUAUUGUGGAGUGAUGUAGAUACUGAAGUUAUUUUUGCCGAACUGCAAGAAUUCCAGAAUCGUUGUCGUAAAUUACCUAAGGGAAUGAAAGAUUGGCCCGCCUUCUUAGAUUUAAAAAAGAAAAUAGACGAUUUCAGUGAAACUUGUCCAUUAUUGGAACUUAUGGCCAAUAAGGCUAUGAAAGAGAGACACUGGAAACGUUUGACGAAUUUAACUGGCUACCAAUUUGAUGUGGAUUCUCCUACCUUUACAUUGAGAAAUGUGAUGGAAGCGCCUCUCUUAAAGAAUAAAGACGACGUAGAAGACAUUUGUAUCAGUGCAGUAAAGGAGAAGGAUAUAGAGGCCAAAUUAAAACAGGUCAUUGCCGAUUGGGCAGUUGUCGAAUUAUCGUUUUCCAGCUUCAAGUCUAGAGGAGAAUUACUUUUGAAAGGAACUGAAACGGGGGAAAUUAUCACUACUCUCGAAGAUAGCUUGAUGAUUAUGAAUUCGUUACUAAGUAAUAGAUACAACGCCCCAUUCAAGAAGGAUAUUCAGCUUUGGGUACACAAGCUUGUGACUACAUCGGAGAUUCUUGAAAGAUGGUUGAUCGUACAAAAUUUGUGGGUAUAUCUUGAAGCUGUUUUUGUUGGAGGUGAUAUAGCCAGACAGUUGCCCCAAGAAGCCAAACGAUUUAAUAACAUCGACAAAUCGUGGAUAAAGAUAAUGACCAGAGCUCAUGAGAUACCAAACGCUGUAGAAUGUUGUACUGGGGAUGAAACUAUGGGUCAGUUAUUACCUCAUCUUUUGGAACAACUCGAAACUUGUCAGAAGAGUUUAACUGGAUAUUUGGAGUCCAAAAGAUUAUGUUUCCCACGUUUCUUCUUCAUCUCCGAUCCGGUGCUCUUAGAAAUCCUUGGUCAGAGUUCGGAUCCAACCUCUAUACAAGCUCAUCUGCUCAGUUUGUUUGACGCUGUAUAUUCGGUUGAUUUUGAUGAAAAGAAAAUCGAUACUAUAGUAUGUAUGAAUUCCAAUCUUGGCGAGAAAGUAGUUUUUGAAAAACCCGUCGUUUGCCAAGGCGGUGUUGAAUUCUGGUUGAACAGUUUACUUUUUAUGGUUCGGGAAACGGUGAAAGGAGUUAUUGCCGCCCAAGCGCAAUGUCUGGUUGAUCCAGAUUAUGAUUUUAUUACCGGAAUGACUGCCUAUUGUGGACAGGCGGCUUUGGUGGGUAUCCAGGUGUUAUGGACCAAAGAAGCUGAGAUUGCAAUUAAAAGAGCUCGAGUGGACAAAAUGGCAAUGCGUAUAACCAAUCAAAGAUUCCUAGAUUUACUUAAUUCUCUAAUUGAUUUAACAUCCAAGGACUUAAGCAAAAUGCUGAGAACGCACUAUGAAACGAUGGUCACUAUUCAUGUUCACCAAAGGGAUAUUUUCGACAAUAUCUGUAAAUUGCGAGUCAAGUCUUUAUUAGAUUUUGAGUGGCAGGCUCAGUGUCGCUUCUAUUACAAUAUUGAAAAUGAUGACGUUAUUGUCCGAAUUACCGACGUCAUAUUUCUAUAUCAGAAUGAAUACCUUGGAAUUACCGAACGUUUGGCUAUCACUCCUUUAACCGAUCGAUGUUAUAUAACUCUGGCUCAAGCAAUAUGGAUCAACAUGGGUGGUGCUCCCGCUGGUCCAGCAGGAACUGGAAAAACUGAGACAACUAAGGACAUGGGAAGAACUCUGGGCAAAUUCGUUGUCGUAUUUAAUUGCUCGGAUCAAAUGGAUUUCAGAGGACUCGGCAGAAUAUUUAAGGGAUUAGCGCAGUCUGGUACUUGGGGUUGUUUUGAUGAAUUCAAUCGAAUCGAUCUCCCUGUCUUAUCCGUGGCUGCCCAACAGAUCUAUAUCGUACUUCAGGCAAGAAAAGAACGGAAAGCGGUGUUUAUCUUUAUGGACGGUGAUCACGUCAGCAUGAAUAUAGAAUUUGGAAUAUUCUUGACUAUGAAUCCUGGAUAUGCCGGUCGUCAAGAAUUACCUGAAAACUUAAAAAUUAUGUUUAGGAGUGUGGCAAUGAUGGUACCGGAUAGACAGAUUAUUAUUAGGGUUAAAAUGGCAUCUUGUGGUUUUAAAGAGAACAUUAUCUUGUCUAGGAAGUUUUAUACGUUGUAUCAGUUGUGCGAGGAACAACUAUCAAAGCAGGUCCAUUACGAUUUUGGACUAAGAAAUAUCCUGUCUGUUUUAAGAACUCUUGGUGCGCAGAAAAGAAGUCAUCCUUCUGAUACAGAAGAGACCAUUGUAAUGAGAGUAUUGAGGGAUAUGAAUUUAAGUAAAUUAAUAGACGAAGAUGAACCGUUGUUCUUAUCCUUGAUAGAAGAUAUGUUUCCGGGCAUUAAAUUAUCUACGUACGCCUGGAAAGACCUACAGAAAGCCGUUACGAACGUUUGCAUUGACAUUGGUAUAAUUAAUUAUCCAUCAUGGAAUUUGAAAGUCGUUCAAUUGUAUGAAACGUCUCUUGUAAGGCACGGUUUAAUGGUGCUUGGCCCUACUGGUGCCGGGAAAACAAAGUGCAUGCACACCUUAAUGAAAGCUAUGACGGAAACUGGAUUGCCCCACAGAGAAUUAAGGAUGAAUCCCAAAGCUAUCACUGCACCACAAAUGUUUGGGAGAUUGGAUGUAGCAACAAACGAUUGGACAGAUGGUAUUUUCUCUACGCUCUGGAGAAGAACGCUUAAAUUUAAAAAGACAGAUUACUGUUGGUUGGUUUUGGACGGCCCUGUUGACGCCGUAUGGAUAGAAAAUCUCAACUCUGUAUUGGACGAUAAUAAAACUUUAACUUUAGCUAAUGGGGACAGGAUAGUUAUGGCAAAUAACUGUAAACUUGUGUUUGAACCUGACAAUGUAGAUAAUGCUAGUCCUGCUACUGUAUCUCGAAUGGGUAUGGUGUUUAUGAGUUCUUCCGUUUUGCCAUGGCCCCCAAUUCUUGAAGCUUGGCUAAAAAAACGGGCGCAACAGGAGGCCGACACUUUGAGAACUUUGUUCAACAAAAGUUUCGGAGAUCUCCAUGGCUAUGUUCAAGCGAGACUGAAAGCUAAAAUGUUUGUUAGGGAAGCUUUGUACAUUCGACAAUGUUGUGAUGUACUACAAGGCAUAUUGGAUAUAUCAGAAGAGCCUAAGAACUGGACGGACAAACAACUGGAACGCCUCUACAUAUUUGCCGUAAUGUGGUCUUUGGGGGCGCUGCUCGAGCUGGAGGACAGGGUGAAACUAGAAGAUUUUGCUUUAGCGCACCCCUCAAAGUUGGACUGGCCAAAAUGCAAAGAAAACGAAACCAUAUUUGAAUACGUGGUAAACGCGGAAAAUGGCAAAUGGGAACAUUGGCGCGAACGCGUCGAAGAGUUUAUUUAUCCGAAAGAUUCUGUAUUGGAAUUUACAAAUAUAUUAGUACCGAAUGUGGAUAAUGUGAGAAGUGCGUUUUUAAUACAUACCAUUGCCAAACAAAAUAAAGCAGUGCUUUUAAUUGGUGAACCGGGUACGGCAAAGACAGUAAUGAUUAAAGGCUACCUUUCAACGUUUGAUACAGAUUAUAAGUUGAAUAAAUGUUUUAACUUUUCUUCAGCAACUACACCUAAUAUGGUACAGCGAAUUAUCGAGUCUUAUGUAGAUAAACGAGUGGGUACAACAUACGGUCCACCUGCUGGGAAGACAUUAACUAUAUUUAUUGAUGACAUUAAUAUGCCGGUAAUUAAUGACUGGGGAGACCAAAUUACCAACGAAAUAGUACGUCAACUUAUGGAAACUGGAGGCUUUUAUAGCUUGGAUAAACCAGGCGAUUUCUCAUAUAUCGCCGACGUUAUGUUGCUGUCAGCUAUGAUCCAUCCAGGAGGUGGUCGAAAUGACAUACCCCAUAGACUUAAAAGACAAUAUUGUAUAUUUAAUUGCACCUUGCCGAGCAUCACUUCUAUGGAUUUAAUCUUUAGACAGAUUGGUUGUGGAUACUUUUGUAUCGAACGGUUUGAGGAAGAAGUCGUUGAAUUCAUGCCAAAAUUAAUUCCAUUGACUAGACAUAUUUGGCAGAAAACGAAACAGAAAAUGCUGCCAACGCCGGCCAAGUUUCAUUACGUUUUUAAUCUACGUGAUUUAUCUAGAAUAUGGCAAGGAAUACUGACAGUUCAAAAUUUGGAAUGUCGUAAUAAAAAGAUGGCGUUGAAACUUUGGAGACACGAAUGUGAACGGGUGAUAGCGGAUAGGUUUACUAUAAUACCCGAUAAAGUGUGGUUUGUAAAUCUUUUAAAAACUGUAGCAGCCGAAGAACUGGGAGAUGAUUUUGAAGCUUAUCCGGAGGAGGAAACUUUCUGGGUGGAUUUUCUUAGGGAUCCCCCCGAACCAACGGGUGAAGAGCCAGAAGAUUUCUGCUUUGAUGCACCAAAAAUUUAUGAAGAAAUUCCUAGUUGGACUUUUCUUAAAGAAAGGCUCUUCGCAUUCAUGGCUGAAUAUAAUGAAGCUGUACGCGGUUCUCCAAUGGACCUGGUAUUUUUCCACGAUGCCAUGGUGAAUUUAAUGAUAAUAUCAAGAGUUAUUCGAACUCCUCGCGGCAAUGCUUUAUUAGUAGGAGUUGGUGGAUCAGGAAAACAGAGUUUAACAAGACUUUCAUCUUUCAUAGCUAACUACAAAAGUUUCCAAAUUCAAUUAACCAGAACAUAUAAUGUGAAUAACUUAAUGGAAGACAUGAAAGGGCUUUAUAGGGUGGGAGGAUUGGAAGGACGCGGAAUGACAUUUAUUUUUACAGACAACGAAAUAAAAGACGAGACAUUUUUGGAGAGUAUUAACAAUAUUUUAAGUUCAGGCGAAAUUGCUAAUCUGUUCGCCAAAGACGAGUUGGACGAAAUCCAAUCCGAAUUGAUUCCGAUAAUGAAAAAAAUUCAACCGAAGCGCCCUCCGACUGUAGAUAACCUGUAUGACUUUUUUAUUACGAGAUCUAGACAAAACCUCCAUGUUGUUUUAUGCUUUUCACCUGUAGGAGAGAAGUUUCGUAGCAGGGCUCUCAAAUUUCCCGGGUUAAUUUCCGGUUGCACGAUCAAUUGGUUCCAAAAAUGGCCUCAAGACGCUUUAGAAGAAGUAUCUGAACAUUUUUUGACACAAUACGAUGUUGUAUCAACUCCCGAAGUAAAAAGGGAACUUAUUUUGAUUAUGGCUGAAGUUCACGAUGGAGUAUCGGAUUAUUGUGAGAAAUAUUAUGACAAAUUCAGACGGAGAACCUACGUGACACCAAAAACUUUUAUAUCGUAUUUAGCUGCCUAUAAAGAACUUUAUAAGAAAAAAGUUGACAACAUAGAUAUGUUGGCGAUGAGAAUGAAAACUGGACUUUCCAAGUUAGUUGAAGCGCAGGCUAGUGUUGAUAUUUUAAGGCAAGAGUUAGCAGUCAAAGAGCAAGAAAUGACAGUCGCCACGGAAGCAGCUGAAAAAGUAUUAAAUGAAGUACUUGCUGCAAGUGAAAUAGCAAACAAAAUUAAAGAGGAAGCUACAGUGGUUAAAGAAAGGGCUGAAAACUUAGUAGAAUUGAUCAGCGUUGACCAAAAAGAGGCAGAACAGAAGCUGCUGGCGGCAAAACCCGCUUUAGAUGCCGCUGAAGCUGCUCUUUUGACAAUUAAAGCCGCUGAUAUAGCAACCGUCCGAAAGCUAGGAAAGCCACCAUAUUUAAUUUUGUUAAUUAUGGAUGCAGUGCUUAUAUAUUUUAAGAAACGAAUUGAGCCCACAAAGCCCGAUUUUGAAAAAAAUUUCUUACUUCCAUCAUGGACCGAUUCUCUAAAAGUUAUGGCAGAUACGAACUUUUUGAAGAAUCUCCAGAAUUAUCCUAAAGAUACAAUUAAUGCUGAGAUUGUUGACUUACUUCAGCCAUACUUAACUCAUUCUUUGUAUACAUACGAGGCUGCGAAAACAGCUUGUGGUAACGUAGCCGGUUUAAUUGCUUGGACUAUAGCUAUGUCUGCUUUCUUUGAAGUUAACAGGGAAGUAUUGCCACUAAAGGCUAACUUGACUAUUCAACAAGCUAAAUUAUCCAAGGCUCAAGAAGAAUUAGAGGCAGCUAUGGAAUUGCUUGCUACUAAAGAAGCAGAAGUAAGAGAAUGUCAAAAACAGUAUGAUGAGGCUAUGGCAUUCAAACAAGAAAUAUUUGAAGCUGCGAUGAAAGUUAAAAAUAAAAUGGAUGCUGCAACGGCGCUUAUCGAUGGGUUAGCAGGAGAACGAAUCCGAUGGACUGAGCAGUUGGCGCAAUUUAAGGCCGAAACCGAACGCCUAAUUGGCGAUGUCGUUUUACUGACUGGUUUCUUAGGUUAUACUGGUCCUUUCAACCAAGAAUUUAGAUCUGUUAUGCAACAGAACUGGCUUGAUUCUUUAAUUAGAAGAAAAAUACCAGUUACUCUAAGUAUAAAUAUUAUAGAUAGCUUAACGGAUAUGGCAACCAUCGGCGAGUGGAAUUUGCAAGGAUUGCCAACAGACGAACUUUCGAUACAAAAUGGCAUUAUUGUUACAACGGCUUCUAGAUUUCCACUUUUAAUCGAUCCACAAAGUCAAGGAAAAGCUUGGAUAAAGAUGAAAGAAAAACAAAAUAGCUUAAUAGUGUCCUCUUUAAGUCACAAAUAUUUUAGAAAUCACGUAGAAGAUGCUGUCUCCUUAGGUUACCCAAUGAUUAUUGAAGAUAUAGCUGAAGAACUAGAUCCUGUUUUAGAUAAUGUCCUUGAAAAGAAUUAUAUUAAGAUAGGAACUACUUUUAAAGUUAAAUUAGGAGAUAAGGAAGUUGAUGUGAACGCCGGGUUUAAGCUAUAUAUUACUACAAAAUUAGCUAACCCUAAUUACACUCCGGAAGUGUUUGCGAGAACAGCUAUCAUAGAUUUCACAGUCACAAUGAAAGGUUUAGAAGAUCAGUUGCUUGGAAGGGUUAUUUUGACGGAGAAGAAAGAGUUGGAAAUGGAGAGAACUACUCUGAUUACAGAUGUCACAGCUAAUAGAAGGAAAAUGUUGGAACUUGAACAGAAUUUACUAUAUAAACUAACAACGACUAAAGGAUCGUUAUUAGAUGAUGACUCUGUAAUUGAGGUGUUAAAUGUGACGAAAAAUACAGCUGCCGAAGUUCGUGAAAAGUUACAAAUUGCUAAAGAAACAGAAGUAAAAAUCAAUGCAGCUAGAGAAGAAUUUAGGCCUAUCGCCACUCGAGGAAGCAUUUUAUAUUUCCUGGUAGUUAGUAUGGCAAUGGUGAACUACAUGUAUCAAACAUCGCUAGUACAGUUUCUGGAAAGAUUUGAUGUGUCUAUGAACAGAUCCGAAAAAUCUGCUAUUAUUAGUAAAAGAAUUCACUUUAUAAUUGAUUAUCUUACUUAUGAAAUUUUCAAAUAUAAAUCGAGGGGCCUAUAUGAACGACAUAAAUACCUAUUUGUUUUGCUAAUGUGCUUGAAUAUCGACUUAGAAAGGGAACACAUCACACAUGACGAAUUUCAAAAUUUCAUUAAAGGCGGCGCAGCUUUAGAUUUAAAUGCCUGUCCUCCAAAAGCAGCAAAGUGGAUCAUGGAUCUAACUUGGUUGAACCUGGUUGAGUUAACCAAAUUGCGCCACUUCCAGUAUAUUGUACAACAAGUUACUGCUAAUGAUAAACAGUGGAAGAGUUGGUUUGACAAAGAUGCUCCAGAGGAAGCUAUAAUUCCAGAUGGAUAUAAUAAUUUAGAUACCUUUAGAAAACUUUUAGUAAUACGCUCUUGGUGUCCAGAUAGAACCAUCACACAAAGUCGUAAAUAUAUUGCUAAUUCUUUAGGGCUCAGGUUUGCUGAACCAGUUAUAUUGAAUUUUGAAUCAAUGCAUGAAGAAUCGAGACCUUUAACGCCUUUGAUAUGCUUCUUGAGCAUGGGCUCUGAUCCUACUCCGUAUAUUGAGAUGUUGGCUAAACGAUUAGAACUAAAGAGUAAAAGUAUUUCAAUGGGACAAGGACAAGAGGUUCAUGCUAGAAAAAUGUUAGCUCAAGCAAUGCAAGAGGGAUUCUGGGCAUUGUUGCAAAAUUGUCAUUUAUCGUUGGACUAUAUGCAGGAAGUGCUUCUUCAGUUUCUGGAUUUGGAGAAGGGAAUUGGCAGUGUUCAUCCUAAUUUUCGGCUUUGGAUAACUACCGAGGAGCACGAGAAGUUUCCAAUAAGUUUACUUCAGAUUUGUAUUAAGUUUACGAAUGAAGCUCCCUCGGGUAUAAGAGCGGGUCUUAUGAGAACCUACAGCUCUAUGAAUCAAGAUAUGCUGGAUUACUCAGAUGCAUGGCAGUAUAUACCAUUAGUUUAUGCAAUAUCAUUCUUGCACACUACUGUUCAAGAACGUAGAAAAUUUGGACCUUUAGGUUGGAAUAUACCUUAUGAAUUUAAUUCAGCCGAUUGGUUAUCGAGUUGCCUCUUUUUACAAAAUCAUCUGGAUGACCUUGAUCCUAAAAGAGGAAUUAGUUGGCAAACGCUGAGGUACAUGUUAGGAGAAGUGCAUUACGGAGGAAGAGUUACUGAUGACUUUGAUAAGAAAUUACUUAACACAUUCUGUAGAGUAUGGUUCAAUGAUGAUAUAUUUAAGGAAGAUUUUAUAUUUUAUAAAGGUUACAAAAUAGUGAAGUUUAAAAAUGUUACCGACUAUCUCGCCCACAUAGACGGUUUUCCUACCAUAGAUCCUCCUCAAGCAUACGGAUUACACUCUAACGCAGAUAUUACAUAUCAGACCAAUACAACUAUUGAAAUGUUUAAUGUUAUGUUGGCUAUUCAACCUAAAGAAUCUGGCGGAGGUGGUGGAGAAUCCAGGGAAGGUGCGGUGAAACGACUGUCUACGGACAUGUUAUCCAAAUUGCCCAAAAAUUAUGACCCGUUUGAAGUCAAAGAAAGGAAGACCGCCAUGGUUUUGGAUGGCCGGUUUUUUCAACCCUCAGGGCUUCUUAACCGCCAUGAAGCAAGAAGUAGCGAGAGCUCAUAAAGGCUGGGCUCUAGAUCAAGUCAGUCUCCAUAACGAGGUUACCAAAAAUAUGAAAGAAGAGAUAUUUAGUGCACCACCGGAAGGUGUAUUGGUUUACGGACUAUAUCUAGACGGAGCCGGUUGGGAUCGAAGGCACGUUAGAUUGACAGAAUCGACGAACAAAGUUCUUUACACGAUGAUACCCGUCGUUCAUAUAUUUGCGAUUUAUUCGACUGAUCCG